rnacentral:rRNA from 1 species
GCUUAGGGAGGAGCUUGCGUCACAUUAGUUAGUUGGUGGGGUAAAGGCCUACCAAGACUAUGAUGUGUAGCCGGGCUGAGAGGUUGAACGGCCACAUUGGGACUGAGACACGGCCCAAACUCCUACGGGAGGCAGCAGUAGGGAAUUUUCGGCAAUGGAGGAAACUCUGACCGAGCAACGCCGCGUGAACGAUGAAGUAUUUCGGUACGUAAAGUUNUUUUAUUAGGGAAGAAUAAAUGAUGGAAAAAUCAUUCUGACGGUACCUAAUGAAUAAGCCCCGGCUAACUAUGUGCCAGCAGCCGCGGUAAUACAUAGGGGGCAAGCGUUAUCCGGAAUUAUUGGGCGUAAAGGGUGCGUAGGCGGUUAAAUAAGUUUAUGGUCUAAGUGCAAUGCUCAACAUUGUGAUGCUAUAAAAACUGUUUAGCUAGAGUAAGAUAGAGGCAAGUGGAAUUCCAUGUGUAGUGGUAAAAUGCGUAAAUAUAUGGAGGAACACCAGUAGCGAAGGCGGCUUGCUGGGUCUUUACUGACGCUGAGGCACGAAAGCGUGGGGAGCAAACAGGAUUAGAUACCCUGGUAGUCCACGCCGUAAACGAUGAGUACUAAACGUUGGGUAAAACCAGUGUUGAAGUUAACACAUUAAGUACUCCGCCUGAGUAGUACGUACGCAAGUAUGAAACUUAAAGGAAUUGACGGGACUCCGCACAAGCGGUGGAUCAUGUUGUUUAAUUCGAAGGUACCCGAAAAACCUCACCAGGUCUUGACAUGCUUCUGCAAAACUGUAGAAACACAGUGGAGGUUAUCAGUUGCACAGGUGGUGCAUGGUUGUCGUCAGCUCGUGUCGUGAGAUGUUGGGUUAAGUCCCGCAACGAGCGCAACCCUUAUUGUUAGUUACCAGCACGUAAUGGNGGNACUUUAGCAAGACUGCCGGUGAUAA